CCUACGGGUGGCUGCAGUUGGGAAUAUUGGACAAUGGGCGCAAGCCUGCCCCAGCAAUGCCGCGUGAAGGACGAAGGCUUUCGGGGUUUAAACUUCUUUGACAGGGGAAGAGCAGAAGACGGUACCCUGAAACCAAGCCACGGCUAACUACGUGCCAGCAGCCGCGGUAAUACGUAGGUGGCAAGCGUUGUACGGAUUUACUGGGUGUAAAGGGCGUGUAGCCGGGAAGGCAAGUCAGAUGUGAAAUCCGGAGGCUCAACCUCCGAAUUGGAUUUGAAACUGUGUUUCUUGAGUACUGGAGAGGCAGACGGAAUUCCUUGUGUAGCGGUGACAUGCGUAGAUAUAAGGAGGAACACCAGUGGCGAAGGCGGUCUGCUGGACAGCAACUGACGGUGAGGCGCGAAAGCGUGGGGAGCAAACAGGAUUAGAUACCCCGGUAGUC
rnacentral:rRNA from 1 species